AAAUAAGAAGCAAAUAAUUGCAUUUAGUUUCGACCUAAAAAUAUGUUUAAAAAACCUUAUUUU
rnacentral:tRNA from 1 species